GCGCCCUCGGAUUGGUCCCACGAACCCACCCUGGGGCCUCCCAUUGGUGGCUGGCGCUGUCAGUUGCCCCAAGCUCGGCCCAGGGUUUGUCGAAGGGCAGUUGAAGGGCGUUUUCUUGGUUCCCGAGUCCUCGGAAGCGGCCAAUGGCGUUUUAUCCUUGGCUCUACUGUGAACCUGCGAGUUCCCCUCUGGGCGUCCCAGCUUAUUUUAAUUCAGGAGUCCUUGAGGCCAUGCGUGCGGGUUACCGGAGCUUCUGGAAGCGGCUCGCUGGGUCCUGGCAUUUUCCGGGCCAGGCUGGUUCUCAGGACCCAUCAGGGAGACUGUUGGACCAAGGUCUAGCUUUGCCUUCGUGUGGCAGUCGCCGGGAAGCUCGAAUCCCGGUUCCCUGGGGCUUGAGAAGCUGUUGUUUCGUCCGUCGGGACUAGAGGUGCCGAUGACUAAGGAGUUGUAUGUCAACCAGAGUUCUACAGUUUUGUUUUACACUUAUUCUUCACCAAAGUCCUGUGAAGUAGAUAUUAUCAACUCCAUUUUAAGGAUGCUGCUGAUAAAAGCCAGAAUAUGUUAUGAAGGAACAACUCAGGAUGCAGCUUCACUCUUCAGCAGCAGGAGCUACUCUCUAAUGAAUGAUGUACUCCACAGUGACAAUUUCUCAAGUGCAUGAGUUUAAGUCAGAUUGAUAUCCAAGAUAUUGCAGGCUGCUGCUGCUGCUGCUGCUAAGUCGCUUCAAUCGUGUCCGACUCUGUGCGACCCCAUAGUUGGCAGCCCAUCAGGCUCCCCCGUCCCUGGGAUUCUCCAGGCAAGAACACUGGAGCG